rnacentral:rRNA from 1 species
UACGGGGGGAGCAAGCGUUGUUCGGAUUUACUGGGCGUAAAGGGCUCGUAGGUGGCCAACUAAGUCAGACGUGAAAUCCCCAGGCUCAACUUGGGAACUGCGUCUGAUACUGGAUGGCUUGAAUCCGGGAGAGGGAUGCAGAAUUCCAGGUGUAGCGGUGAAAUGCGUAGAUAUCGGGAGGAACACCAGUGGCGAAGGCGACUUCCUGGCCUGUUCUUGACGCUGAGGCGCGAAAGCUAGGGUAGCAAACGGG